AGAACGAACGCUGGCGGCAGGCUUAACACAUGCAAGUCGAGCGCCCCGCAAGGGGAGCGGCAGACGGGUGAGUAACGCGUGGGAACAUACCCUCCGGUUCGGAAUAGCUCAGGGAAACUUGGAUUAAUACCGGAUACGGCCUAGCGGCGAAAGAUUCAUCGCCGGAGGAUUGGCCCGCGUUCGAUUAGCUAGUUGGUGAGGUAACGGCUCACCAAGGCGACGAUCGAUAGCUGGUCUGAGAGGAUGAUCAGCCACAUUGGGACUGAGACACGGCCCAAACUCCUACGGGAGGCAGCAGUGGGGAAUAUUGGACAAUGGGCGCAAGCCUGAUCCAGCCAUGCCGCGUGAGUGAUGAAGGCCCUAGGGUUGUAAAGCUCUUUGUGCGGGAAGAUAAUGACGGUACCGCAAGAAUAACGCCCGGCUAACUUCGUGCCAGCAGCCGC
rnacentral:rRNA from 1 species